UCAAAAUGCAAAGGACGACCAGAACGUCCGGAAACUAGUCUUGAGUAUGUGCUAUUUUGUCAUUGAUUGUUGUAUGUUUUUUUGGUGUUGUUUGGAGUCAAAAAUCAGUGAGAUGACACUAAAACCUAGAGGGAAAUGUUUAGGGUCAAAAUGUCCGUUUAUGACUCUCCAAGGACCGCCCUAAGGUUCCUAGAGGAGAACUCAACCUUGGGCCGACAAUCUUCUGCAGGAAGAAAGAAUUGUUCAUAGAUGAUACCAAUCCGUGUCGCGGAUUUGGUUCACCAAGGACCAAAUUUUUGGUCCGCGUCGCGGAAUCUUAUGUACCAAAAUUUGUUUCCAAAAAACUUGUGGGAACAUCUUCGCGACGUGGACUUUUUCCCCGAAGAUAAUUUCGAAAAUUAAAGUUAAGUAUGACUUUUAAAAAGGUCCAAUUAAUGUAGAGGUAUUUUGGGUACUUUGGGUGUGUAUUAUAUAUAGGUUUUUGGUCAUUAUACACCCAUUAAUCUAAUCAUAAAUCCUAACACUCAAUUAAAAUCAUAAAAUUUUACAUGCUCUCCCUUCUCUCUAAAUUCUCUCUCUAGUUCAAUCCUUUGUUGAUGACCUUCAAGUUACAAGGAAGAAGGUCGAAUUCUCCAAGGUUUCAAGCUUAAUUUCGUGGGAUUUCUUCAAUAUAGGUGGCAAGUGAGGAUUCAAUUUAACGUUGAAGCUUGGGAAAUAACAUUCUCUCAAGUUCGGUAUGUCCUCAUAUGUUCUAGGACAUGACUUGUUUUUUUGUUUUAGAUUUUCGAAUACUUUGUAAUGGACAAUAGUUUCUUUUCAAAUUGAUGAAAGGGUUGUGACCUUU